CUCUUUCCGUGUUAUGUAUGUGUGAUCUUAUCACUUGUGGGUGAACACAUAACAAAUUUAAUUUUAAACAAUGAAAAGGGAGGUCUUCUGGAAGCGACAACAAUGAAAGAUGAUGCUACUGGCAACAGAACAAGGAUCAGGGGAGGAAUUCCAAAGAUAUACCUAAAAGAAACUAAAGUCAACAGUCAGAGGUGACGCGAGGAUUACAUAGAACCAGGAACGAUCCAGAAAGAAGUAACAGCAGGACCCAUGGUCAUUGAAAGGAAAACAAGAAUAUGCCUAAUUUUUAAUUUUCCACAAACUUCUGGAGGAUGUCCAUUAUAAAUCUUCUUCCAUAAUUGUCUUCUAUACUCUAACCCGUGCCCCUUUACUUUGUUACUGAUCUAGUCAUUCUGGGCAAUGCCCAUUCUUGAUUCUUCAAUACCUUGGAGAUGGGAAAGGGCUCUUGUGAUCCCACGGUGGAGCCAGGAAAGCCCACAGACCAAGCGUCAAAGGGACCAAGGACCUGAUCCCUAUUCCAGCACUCUCCCCCACCCGGCUCCUUUUGCUUGAGGAAGUGUUUACUGUAAAACAUUCCAAUUUUCCUCAGCAGAUUCUCUCCCUUCACAUCUUUUUGUCCCAUUUCUACUUCCAGUAAACUUUUGGACUCUGGCCACAGGGCUGCCAACGAAACCCAGCUCGCCCUCCUCUGCCCUUGUUCAUUUCAGGUCUGAAACCCGCACAAAUAAAAUAGGAAGAAAAAGAAACCUGAAACUGGCCUCUCCGGUGCCAGUUCGAGGACUUGGUUCCCUGCAAAAAGGCACAAGGGACAGCCCUUGACGGAAACUCCCAGCCUCUCUGAGGGAGGAAAACGGGGUUUUCCAGAGUCCUAUCCCCUUAGGGUUUAAAAGCACUUCUCGUGGGAGCCGCGCUUUCACUUCUCCAGGGAGUUGGGAGCUGUAGGAGCCCAAG